ensembl:lncRNA
AGAUCCCUGCAGAGCCUCUCUAUUGCCAUGGCCGCCAUUGCUCUGGAAGACCACAGAUCAGCUGAAAGCAGCUGCCCCCGGGUUCGAUGAUCUACUGUGUCAAAGUGGUACCUCGAUGGCUAACAGGCAGCUAGCCUCUCGGGCCAUGGUUUCCCAAGGAUCUCCGUGGCUCUGGGGCUGGAGCUCUGAGUGAUGGCUGAAAGGCCCCAGUUCCCUCUUGAACCACCCAAUUGUCUAGAAAGAUGGAACUCCCGAAGGCAAAUCCAGGUGUUCCUCUGAAUCAGCACAUCCAAAAUCCUAAGGAAUUGUGGACGUGACAGCAGGAUCAUUCCUGAUUUGGGGUGGGAAUACUUCAAACUCAAUUGCGGUGCUGAGAAGAGAGCUUCGGUGAGGAUCUGCAUGGACCAAGAGAUGGCAAGAGGAUGGGUGAACUCCAGCCUGGAGCUUUCCUGAUGCUGAAGGAGGUGAAAGGGAAAAAGACUUACGGAAAGGAAGAAGGCACUCAACCUCCCACCCACAGUCUUUUCCCAGUCGACAGUGACUUUAGAUCUGAAAAAAGAAAGUCUCAGUUGCUCAGUCAUGUCCACCUUUUUGCGACCCCAUGGGUUGUAGCCUGCCAGGCUCCUCUGUUCAUAGUAUUCUCUAGGCCCCUUUAGAUCUGGGGUCAGGAUAAUUAUCAGGAGGGACUACUCAUUGAGAGGAACCUUUUUUUUUUUUGAGAGCCAUAUGGAAGCCAAGAAAUGGAACAGAGGGAGGAGGAGAGUUCCUGGAUCAGCCCAAGCCCUGCAGAGAAAGUGCAUGGUGGAUGCUCACCCUGGGAGUGGAUUGUUUGCUGUGUGCUCGCCUUGUGCCAGGCACUGUACUGGGUGCAGAGUUUGGAAGAAGAGUUCCUGGGCCAGACACAUACCAACCACUGUAAGACAUGCCAGAGCAAUGCCAAGGUUUGUACCAGAUGCUGUGGGGCUGCCCGGGGGGCAGAAGACAAUGGGGGAGGUCUAUGGAAAUCAGAGAGCCAAUGGGCCCCGAGGGCCAACAGCUCACACUGACUCCCUUAGAUAUCUACCUACCGCCUGCCCCCACAGAUGUGCUCUAAACCAGAGCUCCAGGGUAGAGACCAACAUCCUCCCCAUGCGCAUGGCUGCCACGCUAGUCCAAGAUUCCUCUCAUUUGGCAGCUGCAGCUGCCUUUUAAUGGGGCCCCUUUUACAAUCUAGCUUCCAUGUAACAGCAAAAAUGAUUUUGUUCUAAAUGUAUAUUUUAACUUUACUAGGUAAUACAUGCCCUUAGUACAAAAUAGAUUAGCUUUAAAAAUGGGAGUCAUGUCACUCCUUUGCUUAUGAUCUGACUUCUAUACAAAUUCGCAGUUCUCUACCUGACCUACAAAGCUCUCCUUAACUUGGGACCUACCUGCCCGCCUGAUCCCACUUUGCAUCACUUGCCCCCUCCCCAACAGUGGACCAGUCUGCUCCUCAAACAAGCCAGUCUCCCUGCCUCCCAAGGCUUCUGUACGCUCUGGUCCAUCUGCCUACAAUGCUCUUCCCCAGACCUCUGCUCUGCUGCUGCUUCUCAUUACUCUAUUUCAGCUUAAUAUCACCUCCUCAGAGAAGCCUUCUGUGAUUGCUAAUCUCUAGCGGCCAUGAGAUAUUCUAUCUUACCACUAAAUUUUUAAAAAGCAGCUUUACUGAGAUAAAAUGUUCCGUGGAU